AGAGUUUGAUCCUGGCUCAGAUUGAACGCUGGCGGAAUGCUUUACACAUGCAAGUCGAACGGCAGCACGGAGAGCUUGCUCUCUGGUGGCGAGUGGCGAACGGGUGAGUAAUAUAUCGGAACGUGUCCAAUAAUGGGGGAUAACGAGUCGAAAGAUUCGCUAAUACCGCAUACGCCCUACGGGGGAAAGCAGGGGAUCGUAAGACCUUGCGUUAAUGGAGCGGCCGAUAUCUGAUUAGCUUGUUGGUGAGGUAAAGGCUCACCAAGGCGACGAUUAGUAGCUGGUUUGAGAGAACGACCAGCCACACUGGAACUGAGACACGGUCCAGACUCCUACGGGAGGCAGCAGUGGGGAAUUUUGGACAAUGGGGGCAACCCUGAUCCAGCCAUUCCGCGUGAGUGAAGAAGGCCUUCGGGUUGUAAAGCUCUUUCGCAAGGGAAGAAAACUUAUGAUCGAAUAAAUCAUGAGGUUGACGGUACCUUGAUAAGAAGCACCGGCUAACUACGUGCCAGCAGCCGCGGUAAU
rnacentral:rRNA from 1 species